rnacentral:lncRNA from 1 species
AUGUGCUCUAAUCAGCUAAUUACUGCAUUCUGCCAUCUCAGCAGACUACUUUCCUUUUGUGGAGGAAAGGCUGAGGAGUUGAGUUUGAGAAGCACAGGGCACGGAGAAGGAAUACUGCCACCUACUGAAAAUAGCUCUUUCCAGCCCACCACCAAGCUCAAUCUUAGAAGUGUCCAAGUUGAAGUUGCUUGCUUUGAGAGCUCCAAUAUCACCACUGACCCAGCAGUGUAAUUGAAUAUGUUGAUGUUGAAAGUCCCAAAGAACUUACUACAUAUGUAAAAAACAGCCACCAGCACCAGCUACUCCUCACUUUCCUUUUCUUUGUGCUUCUUUUCUGGUUGGGGAAUUCAUCUUAAUACAUAUGGCAAAGAUAAAAGGAAAAAGCAUAUGUAGUGGUAAAGUCUCCGUGCUACUUCCUUUAGAAGAUACUGCAUGCAAGUGUUAGAAAUUUUCCUGGCACUCACACUCAAAGACAUGUGUCUGACCAAUAUGUUGGCAGGCAUGAGGCCAUUUGGCAGAUGGAUAUAAGCAUACUUAGCCAACAAAUAUGUUCAUCAACUGUAUAUGUUGAAGGCAUAAUAUUCACCUGGGGAAUUGAAAAUGGAGCUCUUUCCAUAUUUAUUUCUACACCCAUGGUAAAGCUAGCAGAUAAAAAACUCAAAGUCCAAUGAUUUAAGUUAUAAAAAUUAGAAUUUAUUUCAAGUCAGUCAUAUUUAUAUUGCCUAUUUGACUUAAAGACUGUCCCUUUAGAAUGGGGCCUUUGAGGUAUGUAUUGCUAUUUCUAGCAUCAUUCUGACUGUCACCUGGUCACAGAUAAUUUGUAUAAGCUUAUCUAAAUAUGUAAUAAUUAAAAAAAAAAAAAUCAUAUUGACAAACUCUCCAAAAAUUGGAUAGAACUGUCUCUUCUCUAAAGAAUUGUUUAGCUCAUUUUUGCUUAGGAAGACCAAAAGUCAUCAAAGUAAAUUAUAAUUUUAAUUGACUAUAAAGUGUUUCAGCUCAAACUCAAUCUGGUUAUCCCAUCAAGAUUUUGCUUCCCAUACUAAUUUGAUCCAUUUAAGAAAUUAUGCAAAAAUAAAUAAUAAUAUUAUUAUUUGCUCCUAAACUGA